rnacentral:lncRNA from 1 species
CUUCACACCCCAUGGAUUUUUUCCCCCUUGAGACUAGAAAAGGACCUGCAAAACCAUUAACUUCCUUAGAGCUAGCAGCUGGAAAGGCGGGAAGCAACACUCUGAAAGCAAAAGAAUGGCCUCAUUUAUUUAUUUUUGAAAUGACACAUGUAAAACGUGACGACAUGGUCAAAACCAAAAUAUUUUUGAAAAGAGUAAGCAGUUAAAAAUCCCUGUUCCAGAGCCCCAAACUUAAUUCUCUCCCCAGGGAUAACCACUGUUAAAUUGGUGCAGGUCAACCUCGUCCCAAUCCCAAUCCCCCCCUCCUACCCCCACCCCCCAACCCCGCCCUCCACCUGAGGUCUCUGUGUUCUUCACCGGGAGCCUGUCCCACAGACAGGCCUUCGUGUUUGUCCUUCCCUCCACCUGGAAAGGCCCCCUUGCCCUUUCUUUUCUUUUUUGGGAAGGGAUGUUUUAUGUUUAUUAAGAUAUAAUGUUCACAUAGUAAUGUGCACAAACCUUAAAGUGUGCAGCUCAAUGAAUUUCUACAUAAUUUUUUGCAUAUAUAUUCAGCCAGAUCAAGAUGCAGAAUAUUUCCAGCAUGCCGGAAGGCUCCCUCAUGCCUCCCCAGUCGGUACCCUCCCCACAGCCUGAAUAAUAUGCCAUUGUAUGGAUAUACCACAUUCUGUUUAUCCCUGCAUCCACUGAUGGACACUUGGGUUGCUUCCACCUUUUGGCUAUCGUGGAUAAUGCUGCUGUGAACAUGGCUGUACAGAUGUCUCUUAGAGACUCUGCUUUCAGUUCUUUGGGGUGUGUAUCCAGAACUGGAUCAUAUGACACACUCAUCCUUGUCUUGGGAGACAACUCAAAGUCACACCCAGGAUCUCCACGUCAAGCACAUUCUUCCCCCUCGAACCAGGAGCUUCCAGUACCAGGGAGGAGGAAAGGAGAGAGAGCCAAGAGACAAGGAAAGGAAGAGAAAGAAGAGGAACAGAGAGCACCCCAAAGUACCACAAACUGAGUGGCUUGUAAACAACAGAAACUUACUGCUCACCCUUCUGGAGGCUGGAUCCGAGAUGAGGGUGCCAACAUGCCUGGGUUCUGCUGAGGGCCCUCUGCCGGGUUGCCGAUGGCUUGCUAUGUCCUCACAAGGCAGAAGGAAGGGGGUCCCAAGGCAGCUGUUCCCUCAAGACUGUCCAGCCUGCAGCUGCCAAGCUCAGAGGCCAGCCCAGCUACAGGAUCAGCUCAGCGUGGUCACUCUCGACCCCACUCCUCCCCUCCUCACUCCUUCUGUUCUCCAUUUCCUGUCCUGGGUGUUCCUUGUCGCCACCAGCAGUGGAAGAAGAUGAGACUGUGUCUGUGAGCAGAAGAGCAUCACUGGACUCAGCUGAGAAAACUGGGAGGAAGCUUCGAAUGGAUAUCUGCAUACUUGUGUUCACAGCAGCAUCAUUCACAGUAGUCAAAAGGCAGAAGCAACCCAAAUGCCCAUGGACAGAUGAGGGGGUAAACAAAAUGUGAUGUACACAGACAAUGGGAUAUUAUCCAGCCUCAAAAAGGAAGGAAAUUCUGACACACACUACAACAUGGAUGAACCUUGAAGACAUUAUACUAAUCGAAAUAAGCCAGACACAAGAGAACGAGUACAAUAUGAUUCCAUUAAUGUGAAGUAUCUGGAAUAGUCCAAUUCACAGAGACAAAAGGAGAAUGGUGGUUACCAGAGGCUGGAAGGGGUUGGGGAAGGGAGAAUUAGUGUUUAACGGGCGCUGAGUUUCAGUCUGGGGAGCUGAAAAAGCUCUGGUGAUGGAUGCCGGUGAUGAUGGCACAACUACCUGAAUGUACCUAGUGCCAAUGAACUGUACACUUAAAAAUCGUUAAAAUGAUAAAUUUUAUGUUAUGUAUAUUUUAUCACAAUAAAAAAUUUAAGGGCUGGCCCCGUGGCCGAGUGGUUAAGUUCGCGCGCUCCGCUGCAGGCAGCCCAGCGUUUCGUUGGUUCGAAUCCUGGGUGCGGACAUGGCACUGCUCAUCAGACCACGCUGAGGCAGCGUCCCACAUGCCACAACUAGAAGAACCCACAACGAAGAAUAUACAACUAUGUACCGGGGGGCUUUGGGGAGAAAAAGGAAAUAAUAAAAUCUUUAAAAAAAAAAAAAAUU